CGCCGCCCGCUGGCCCGCAGCUGGGUGUAGGCAGAGUGCGCCCCGGGACCCCGCCGCGUCCCUUCCGGGUGCCCCGCUCUUCUGGUUCCUCUGCUGCUGCCUGGCGCCGUUUUGCAGCCUCCUGGCCCUCGCUGGUCCCUGCUCCGGACUUGGGCGCUCGGCUCCCGAGCCUCGGUGCGGACCGGGAGCUGAGGCCGGGAGCUGAGCCCUGCGGCCGGCGGCCUAGCGGCAUCCUCGCCUGGCGUGGGUGGGAGCGUCUCCGAUCCUGCUUCUCAUUACCUGUGGGUGGUAACUGGAGACUGCUUCGUGAGUCCGUGCCUGGGAUGCUCCAGUUGUCAUCCCUGCUGACUUGGAGAAAAUUCAAACAGAAAUGGAAAGAGCCCAUUAGUGAGUCCAAGGGAGGCUUGACACUACAUGCUCCUCGGGGCAGAGGCAGCCGACCCUAGUGACCUACCAGGCAAGACAUGCUGGCCGCGACUGGGCACUGAGGAUUUAGAAGUUGCAAGGACUUGUUAGAGCACCCGACUGGAAUCCAGCAGUGACCCAUGAGUUCAGAGGUGAGGAUUUUGGGGAAGUGAUUGGAUCAUGGGGGUGGGACACUAUACCCAUCUGUGGACUCAUCCAUUGAUGAGUCCAUAGCUGAAUGUGCUGUUGGGAGGUGAAGCCUGGUCAGAAGAGAGGGAUCACUAGUGAUAUGACCAGGAAGGAUGCAUUCUUGUCCCUGGCUCCUUCUCCACUCUUUGCUUCCUGGUUGCCAUGGGUUGAGCAGCUUUCCUCCACCAAGCCCUCCCACCAUGCCAUUCUGCCUUGGAGUCAACGAACUGUAGACUGAAUCCCCCCAAACUGUAAGCCAAGUAAACCUUUCCUCCUUUAAGUUAUAGGGGUUGGGUAUUUUGUCCCAGCAACAGGAAAGGUGACUAAUACAGUUUUAUUUUCCAAAAGCAGCCUGUCUUGGCACCCUCUCUGGUUUCCUGCUCUCUCUUGCCUCUCCUGCAGCCAAGAGCAGGACUGAGCUGCCCCCUUGGUGGGGAAUGCAAGUGGGACACCUAAGGCUGAGGGGAGAUGCCAGCAAGCUAUCUACUCUAGCAAUUUUUGGUGUAGUAGAUACUUGAUUUUUUCUCUUUCACCCAGCACAUUGUGAAUUCUGUGAAGGCAGAUGCUCUGCACGUUGUCUUUGCAAUUGGGUGGUUCUCAGAGGAGACAGUCACUGUGAGAACCACUCAUGGCUUCACGUCUUUGACAGGAUGACACUAACCAUCUGGAAUGAACGCCCUCUUCUCUAGUCUCCAGAGUCCUUAUGUGCCCAUUACAGGUGUCGUGGUGGUUCUUCCUCUCGGUGCCCCUACACCUCAUCUGUCACUUCCGCCUCAGGACAUCUAUGUUUGCAGCACACAUUGGAUGGAAACGGCUGGGCACCAGAUAGCGCUUUGCCCACUGCCCAUGCUCCCAUCACCCUUUUGUCUACUUUUCCCUGGAUCGAAUAUCCAAAUUCUUCAUUCUACUUUUUUGUUCACAAAUCUCAUUUUUCAUUACUGUAUAAUUUUGACUGUUACUAUUUUCUCUGGUUUUGCCCAUUUUUUGUGCUACUUUCUAAAUCUAGAGACCAGAGAUUUCAUCUAGAAAACAGUGCCUCACUGUCUUGCUGAAUCAUGCUUGCUCUGCCUUCCUUCUGCAAAACAUCUUUGCAGUGCACACUUCUGGCUGAUUCCUGGGGCUUGGCUUGUAGCCCGUGAGGUAGAAAAGUGAAAGGCAGUUCAGGUUCUACUGAGGAUGCUUCCCAUCCUGUGCACUUAAGGCUGUGCCUCAUCAGAGCACUGAGCUCAGCAGGUGACAGGGGUAAAUGAGCUAGUGCUCCUGGAGCUUUCAGAGAGCUGGCCCGAAUAAUUGGUAGUUAUCAUUUCUGUGCCGGUUUCACUAUUACCAUUACCCGUCAGGCAUGGUACACUCAAAAACUCAAAGUCCAGGGAGUCACUGGAGUCUGAGGUAAGGAGAAAGGAACAGGGUAAGGGGAGAAAGGUAACAAGGGGUUUGAGUGAGUUUGGGCUUCCCUGUGAGUGUACUCUUCACCAUUCCAUGGCUUCUGCCCUUAGGAGACACAGCCCUUUGAUCUUGGGCUUCCUGGACUCUAAGACUG